GAUGAACGCUGGCGGCGUGCCUAAUACAUGCAAGUCGAGCGAACAGACGAGGAGCUUGCUCCUCUGACGUUAGCGGCGGACGGGUGAGUAACACGUGGAUAACCUACCUAUAAGACUGGGAUAACUUCGGGAAACCGGAGCUAAUACCGGAUAAUAUAUUGAACCGCAUGGUUCAAUAGUGAAAGACGGUUUUGCUGUCACUUAUAGAUGGAUCCGCGCCGCAUUAGCUAGUUGGUAAGGUAACGGCUUACCAAGGCAACGAUGCGUAGCCGACCUGAGAGGGUGAUCGGUCACACUGGAACUGAGACACGGUCCAGACUCCUACGGGAGGCAGCAGUAGGGAAUCUUCCGCAAUGGGCGAAAGCCUGACGGAGCAACGCCGCGUGAGUGAUGAAGGUCUUCGGAUCGUAAAACUCUGUUAUUAGGGAAGAACAAUGUGUAAGUAACUAUGCACGUCUUGACGGUACCUAAUCAGAAAGCCACGGCUAACUACGUG
rnacentral:rRNA from 1 species